rnacentral:rRNA from 1 species
AUUGAACGCUGGCGGCAUGCCUAACACAUGCAAGUCGAGCGGAGCUGCGGACGGGUGAGUAAUGCCUAGGAAUCUGCCUGUGAGUGGGGGAUAACUUCCGGAAACGGGCGCUACUACCGCAUACUACCAGUGGAGCCUAGGUCGGAUUAGCUAGUUGGUGGGGUAAAGGCCUACCAAGGCGACGAUCCGUAACUGGUCUGAGAGGAUGAUCAGUCAAACUGGAACUGAGAAACGGUCAAGACUCCUACGGGAGGCAGCAGUGGGGAAUAGUGGACAAUGGGCGAAAGCCUGAUCCAGCCAGGCCGCGUGGGUGAAGAAGGUCUUCGGAUUGUAAAGCUCUUUAAGUUGGGAGGCGUUACCAACAGAAUAAGCACCGGCUAACUUCGUGCCAGCAGCCGCGGUAAUUC